AGAGCACGAGAGAACAAAGAGAGGAGAUCUGGGGAGAAAUUCUGUUUCCAUCUUCUUUUGGCUCGAACCAGAUUAUACUAUACUUGAGAGGUCCAUUGGAGUCGAGGUCGUGGUUGAAAUUCAUCGGUGAAGGUUCAUGGUAUAGGUCCUGGUUACGGUUGAUUUCGCACGCUAAUUUGAAGCUCCUCUUCGUUGUAAACAUUGGAAAAUUUCAGCAAUAGAAGAUCUUCAUCUAUAAAAGGUUCAUCCUUUUCUUAACCGUUGUUUCCAUUGCUGCUCUUUCACCAUGUUUCCUUCUGAUUUGUAUAUCAUAUUUUGAUUGUCUACCUUCAAUGAUUCAUUGUUCUGGGUUUGUUUUAUUUGAUUUGAGUGAAUACCGGUUGGUGAUUAACUAGUCAGUCCAUCUUGGCUCAUGAAAUUUGGAAGGUUGGCUGAAUUAUGUUGAUGGAAUUAAACCUCUGUUGCUCGCUUCGUUUUUAAAAAACUAUUGUACAUUAGAUCAAAAAUGGAAUUCGGAGCAGGGGACUUCAAAGUUAGUUAUUAGUGAUUGAUAUAGUGGUUGUAUAUGUGGUUUAUCUUGUUUUUUGGUUAAGAUAUGAGAUUUUGUUUUAGAUCAAAAAUGACUUAUCUCAUUUCCUUUAGUGUAACUACUAGUAUAUAUUUUUAUUUUCCUACUUCAUUAACUUAAGUGCGAAUAUGAAAAAUCAAAGGGUGGCCACAGAUAACUAUUGAAAUAAUUCUAAUUUUCAUAACUACGGGCCUUUACAAUAAUCUCAUAUUAGUAUAUAAUAAAUAAUCACUCUUGAAUACUAUAGUUUGCUUUAGGCACGAUUAAUUAAUCAUCGUGGCCACGGGUACGAUUUCCGUGGCAUAGUCACGAUACGUAAAUCCCAUUCGGGUGUGCAUUUCAUGUGACCCGACCACAACUUCUAAUAAUAAUAAAAAAUAAACAUGUCGUAAAUCGCGGGUGCAUUUCAUAUGGCGCGGUUUGCAACAUGUACCAAAUGACAAGUGCAUAAUAUCGCGACGUGUUCAAAUAAAUUCCGUAAGUAUUAAAAGCGGUUAAAAAGUAAAAAUGCACAAUAGGCUUUAAAUAUGUAAUAAAUCAGAUAAUUAGGCCAAGUAUUAAUUGUUAAGCGACCGUGCUAAAACCACGGAACUCUGGAGUGCCUCACACCUUCUCCCGGGUUAACAGAAUUCCUUACCUGGUCUUCUGUGUUCGCAGACCAUAAAUAGAGUCAAAUUUUCUCGAUUUGGGAUUUAAAAUAAACCGAUGACUUGGAACAUCAUAAUUUAUUCCAAGUGGCGACUCUGAAUUUAAUAAAUAAUCCUAUUUCAAUUAAUGUCACUUUAAUUGAAAAAACUCCCAUAUUUCCUAUCCCUUCGGGAAAAAGGAGGUGUGACAAUGAUAUACUAGGAAUCUGUAAACUUUCACUUAUGUUAAAGUUGUAAUGAUAAAGUUCAGUUGUAAUUUAGAAAUUACUACUAAUAUAUAUCCUCCAUAUUUUCUUGCAUUUUAAUAUGUAUAUUAAUAUAUAUGUAGUAUUUUGAAUUAAUUUUUUUUAUAAAUAGGUGCAGAUUCACCUGGAAUCAAGGAAGGUUGUGGACAAGCUAGAAUAAAGGUAUUGAGAAGUAAAGAAGUCGGAAAAGAUAAUAUUAGAGAUCAUAGUUGGUAAAUGGAGGUCAGUCAAGGCAAUUCCAGAGCAAAGCUAUCAAAUGAGUUGGGAAUGACUGCUCAAAAGUUUCUUUCACUUCCAAACAAUUGAAAAGAACUCACAAGAGGAGAAAGAUGCAACACUGAAUAGAUUACUUUUUUUAGACCGUCAUAUUUUUAUUGUAGGACAUUAGUUCGUCAUAAAUGUGACAAUAAAUAGACUUUGUCCCAGAAUUGCCUUAUCAAUAAAAUAAUAUAUUCUUUGACAAUAAAUUAUCUUUGUAUUUUUUACAAUUGUAAUUGUCACUAAUCAUGAUGAUUUAUAGUAA
rnacentral:lncRNA from 1 species